AAGGCUUAUAUGAAGACUAUGGAGUAAUUUUCAAUUAGUUUUAUCCCUAUAUCAUCAAUACUUGUCAUAGAAUUAUGGUUGUCACAAGUGUCAGGGGUAAUAGGUGGGUUGUAAUAACAUCCAUCUGGCAUAGUUUAAGGCUUGUUGCUAAACACCCAUUUUGCAGAAAGUUGCUCUCCAUAGCAGAGGGUCAUGUGGAUUGAAGACCAAUAAUACUAGUGUUAAACAACAACAACACUGCCUUAACACAAUGGGAAGGCUGUAAAGAGGGUCAGCUGAGAAGUACUGUAAUAAAUAUGUGAAAUAUACAAUUAAAACUGCACAAACUCUGGUAGCUAUAUGAAGAAAAUGAAUAAAAAGACAGCAAACACAUAUGUGAGGAAGAUGAAUUUAGAAAUAAUCCAUGAUGUAAGGAUGACAAUGUCACAGACCAGCAUGGUGCCUAUAGAAAAGGAUGGUAUGGGCAUAUGCAAGAAGCAGAAAGGUAAAAAUCUAAUAGGCUUGUCCAUAGUCAGCCAUGACUGGAGGCUUCUGGUCUGUGGACCUGAAAUAUUGGCCACACACCCCUGGUGUGGCUUCAGGGGGACAGAAGUGGGAAGAGAGGAGCUUCAGGAUUGGCUUUCCUUCGUGUGCUCUUUCUGUUAGGUCAGUGGAUCCGGUAGGAAGAGCAGGGAAAUGCUCAGGUGGUUCUUUGUAUUUUUCUGUGUAAUUGUACUCAAUAAACACCCAUUUAUCCUUUAUCUUCCGUCUAGUGAUACAAUUACAUCCUGGCCUUCACAUGAGGAGUGUAAAAGGGGAGGAUCCAAGAAGUGAUCUCCCCCGUUUUGUCUUCUACAUUUGGCAGCAUCCUUAUAGUUGUCACUGGAAGUAAAUCUCACCAUGCAGUAAGACACAGCCAAACUGUCUGCCGAGGAGAGUCCUGAAAUAGCAUGUUGUCCUUCUCUACAGAUCACAGUGGGGCCCCUGUGCUGAAGAUCACGGCAAGGACCACAAAAGAAGACCUAUUGCUAUGAGAAGUUGGGAUGACUUAAGACCUAUUGCUAUGAGAAGUGAGGAAUGGCUUGGAAUGAGAGGUAUUGAAUGAGCAACACCAGUGUUGCUGCUCAUGGGAUUUAUUCUCCACAUUGCUACUUUAGAAUCUCAUAGUUUGUCAAAUCCUAUUUCUUUAUAACAGUUACAUCAUACAGAAGACUGUGCAGCCAUAGCAACAAUAAAAACCU